ACCUGGAUGGUUCAGUCAGCAGAGCAUAUGACUAUUGAUCUUAGGGUUAUGAGUUCAAGCCCCAUGUUGGGUA
rnacentral:tRNA from 1 species